GACGGAUGACCGCUCUUGCGAAAGCAUGGGAGGAAAGUCCGGGCACCACAAGGCAGGAUGCUGGAUAACGUCCAGGCGCAGAAAUGCGACGGAUAGCGCAGCAGAAAAUAAACCGCCUCUUCGGAGGUAAGGGUGAAAUGGCGAGGUAAGAGCUCACCGCGGACCUGGCGACAGGGACGGCAUGGCAAGCCCCAUCCGGUGCAAGACCAAGCAGAAUUCCGCUUUCUUCGGAAAGCCUGGGUAGCCUUUCCAGUUGGAGUUCGGGUAGGUUGCUUGAGGCCGCCAGUAAUGGCGGAUCCAGAUAGAUGGUCAUCGCCGACUUCGGCCGGCACAAAACCCGGCUUAUAGUCGUC
rnacentral:RNase_P_RNA from 2 species